rnacentral:pre_miRNA from 1 species
UCUCUACUCACAUGGCUACAACCUUAGUUUAGGUCUUUAUUACUUCUUGCCUGGACUACUGUAGUAACCUUUUAAUUGGUCUC